AAUCAAACCCAGUGCCUCACACAUGCUAGGCAAGUGCUCUACCACUGAGCUACAGCUCCAGCCCCCUUCCCUUCGUAUUUCUAUAGAGGGCCAUGUAAAGCUUUAGAUUCUGUUUAGACUCCAGGUUUUAAGAGUUCAACACAGAAAGAAUUUCAGGUCAUUUGUUUCCCUCCAGAAUGAAAUUCUAAUCUUGAGGGAGGUGGGAAGGACAGGCGAAUGCAUUAUUGCAAACCUUCUCCAGUGAUUCUGAGGUAUAGCUCUGGUUAAGAGCCCCUGCCCAACACCCUGAGAUAUUUGAGUGUAAGGACCAUGCCCUUCAACUUUGUAUUUAUUAAAUACAACCAAUGCCUGAUAUACAGUCAGUGCUCAGUAAAGGGUCAAGUGAACCAGUGGAAACAAGAGCUGAAGAAUGAUAGGGUCCAAAGAAAUGGAUGGAGGAUAGCUUAGGAAUAAGUAUGGUCCCUUCAUUUUUUUCAGUUGCCUUAGUGUUGAAAUGGAAGGAGGCUCCCAGAUAUUCAUGGGAUGUCACUUUUGGCAACAAUGGACCAUCAGUUAUCUGGGUUUUCUAGGUGUUUUGUAGCAAGGAGGGAUUUCAGACUAUGUAGUCUGCAAUAUUUCCAGAAAUAGAAAUCAUUCUUUUUUCCUCUAAUGACCCACACAACACCUGGGAAUUGCCAUAAAAUUCCCAGAAGAGGAGUAUGGUGAAGGAAAACCACUUUCCCUAGGUAUACUUUGUAUGGAACUGCCAGUGAAGCAGUAUAGAUAUGGGCAGAAGACACCACUCUCCUGGUGUCUCCUGAGAUCUGUGCUCUGACUGGUUUCCAUCUGUCGUCUUCUGCCAGUUUUGUUGGGACUCACCUUCCAUUUUCUCUCCACACAGGCUUGUUGAAAAUGUAGGAGCCAAUGUUUCCAACCGUCCCUGCUCCAAACUCUGAUGCAUACGCACCUGUGUACAGGGUGCACCCUGGCCUACAUGUUGUUUCAUCAUUGUGCAGUGCUCAAUGUGGUUAUUGUACAGCUUCAUUUUCAGUGAAAGCCACGGGAACAGAAGCCUCAUACAUUCCCCACCCAUCCCACUUUCACACAUCGGUCAUUCAAGAAAUAAAGGAAAGAAAGCAUUAAAUAUGA